rfam:Stenotrophomonas sp. Leaf70 contig_2, whole genome shotgun sequence.
CCCCUGAAGCGGGGGUGCCUGGGUUUGUCCAGGCUGAGAGAGUCCCUUGGAACCUGAUCCGGUUUGCACCGGCGUAGGGAGCUUUGAGCAGCAGGCA